rnacentral:misc_RNA from 1 species
GGAAGGAUCAUUACAGUGCCUGUAAGGUGCCGGGUAACCCCUAGCACUUUGCAUCCUGGCCACCCGUGUCUACUUUACCUUUUGUUGCUUUGGCGGGCCGGUCCCCUGGACCGUUAGGGGCGCGCAUCCACGAGCGUGGGUACGUUCCCUUGGCCGUGCCCGCCAAAAGACCCUUAGAACUCUUGUGAAUUAGGACUGUCUGAGUCGAUGUGAAUAGCAUAAAACUUUCAACAACGGAUCUCUUGGUUCUGGCAUCGAUGAAGAACGCAGCGAAAUGCGAUAAGUAAUGUGAAUUGCAGAAUUCAGUGAAUCAUCGAAUCUUUGAACGCACAUUGCGCCCUUUGGUAUUCCGAGGGGCAUGCCUGUUCGAGCGUCAUUUCAAAUCCUCAAGCUCGGCUUGUGUAAUGGGCUCUAGCGCCUGCUUUAGGGCAGGUGAGCCUGAAAGAUAGUGGCAGUGUAGUGCGAGCAGCUACCGUGUAUGGGGAACUUUUGUCACACACUGGCAGCGCGUACCCACGCUUGUCUCAUCUUCUUCUGUGGUUUGACCUCGGAUCAGGUAGGGAUACCCGCUGAACUUAAGCAUAUCAAUAAGCGGAGGAAAAGAAACCAACUGGGAUUGCCCUAGUAACGGCGAGUGAAGCGGCAACAGCUCAAAUUUGAAAUCUAGCUCCUUAGGGGCUCGAGUUGUAAUUUGGAGAGGAUGCUUCGGGUGCGGCCAUGAUCUAAGUGCCCUGGAACAGGACGUCACAGAGGGUGAGAACCCCGUCUUUGAUUGUAGGCACGCGCCCGUGUGAAGCUCCUUCAACGAGUCGAGUUGUUUGGGAAUGCAGCUCUAAAUGGGUGGUAAAUUUCAUCUAAAGCUAAAUACUGGCUGGAGACCGAUAGCGCACAAGUAGAGUGAUCGAAAGGUUAAAAGCACCUUGAAAAGGGAGUUAAACAGCACGUGAAAUUGUUGAAAGGGAAGCGCUUGCAGCCAGACUCGACCGUGUAGGCUCAGUGGGUAGUCGUACCUACGCACUCCUAUGCGGUUGGGCCAGCAUCAGUUCUGGCGGCUGGUCAAAGGCCCCUGGAAGGUAUCGCCUCUCGGGGCGUCUUACAGCCAGGGGUGCAAUGCGGCCUGCCGGGACUGAGGAUGGCGCCUUAGGGCACUGAUGCUGGCAUAAUGGCUGCAAGCGACCCGUCUUGAAACACGGACCAAGGAGUCUAACAUCCACGCGAGUGUUUGGGUGUCAAACCCAUGCGCGCAGUGAAAGCAAACGGAGGUGGGAUCCUCCCUUCCCGGGGGGGCGCACCAUCGACCGAUCCUGAAGUCUUCGGAUGGAUUUGAGUAAGAGCGUGGCUGUUGGGACCCGAAAGAUGGUGAACUAUGCCUGAAUAGGGUGAAGCCAGAGGAAACUCUGGUGGAGGCUCGCAGCGGUUCUGACGUGCAAAUCGAUCGUCAAAUUUGGGUAUAGGGGCGAAAGACUAAUCGAACCAUCUAGUAGCUGGUUCCUGC